CGGCAACAGCUCAAAUUUGAAAUCUGGCCUCUUUUGGGGUCCGAGUUGUAAUUUGUAGAGGAUGUUUUGGGUACCGCACUGGUUUAAAUUUCUUGGAACAGAAUGUCAGAGAGGGUGAGAAUCCCGUCUGGGAUGGGGUGUCCAGGCCUGUGUGAAGCUCCCUCGAC
rnacentral:rRNA from 1 species